rnacentral:lncRNA from 1 species
CGCAAGCGCUCAACUGCUCUGACCUUGCAGCAUUGUUUGUUUGACAAAUUUGUAGCAGGCCACAGAAGCGGACCAGAAACCUGCGACCGGAUGCGCCUCGAAGUAUCAUGGCAAAUUAUGGAGAGCCACCAACUUGGCAGACAUCUCUCUGCCAGUAAAAGGUGUGUGUGUGUGUGUGCCAUGCCCUUCCUCUUAGCACCUUUUGCCGCAUGCGCAAUAAUUUCCAUAUUGCUUGCUGUUAUCAAUUAUGUCUGUGUUGUGUGGGGUGUUUAGCCGGUCC